UCCGUAGGUGACCUGCGGAAGGAUCAUU
rnacentral:rRNA from 1 species